rnacentral:tRNA from 1 species
GACCCGUUAGCUCAGUUGGCAGAGCACCUGCCUUUUAAGCAGGGGGCCGCUGGUUCGAAUCCAGCACGGGUCACCA